rnacentral:rRNA from 1 species
UACGGGGGGGGCAAGCGUUGUUCGGAAUUACUGGGCGUAAAGGGCGCGUAGGCGGUUGGAUAAGUCAGCUGUGAAAACCACGGGCUUAACUCGUGGCCUGCAGUUGAGACUGUCUGGCUUGAGUGUGGGAGAGGAGAGUGGAAUUCCUGGUGUAGCGGUGAAAUGCGCAGAAUAUCUGGAGGAACACCGGUGGCGAAGGCGGCCUGGCUGGGCA